rnacentral:rRNA from 1 species
GUGGGGAAUCUUGCGCAAUGGGCGAAAGCCUGACGCAGCCAUGCCGCGUGAAUGAUGAAGGUCUUAGGAUUGUAAAAUUCUUUCACCGGGAACGAUAAUGACGGUACCCGGAGAAGAAGCUCCGGCUAACUUCGUGCCAGCAGCCGCGGUAAUACGAAGGGGGCUAGCGUUGCUCGGAAUUACUGGGCGUAAAGGGCGCGUAGGCGGACAGCUUAGUCAGAGGUGAAAGCCCAGGGCUCAACCUUGGAAUUGCCUUUGAGACUGGCUGUCUUGAGUUUGGGAGAGGUGAGUGGAACUCCGAGUGUAGAGGUGAAAUUCGUAGAUAUUCGGAAGAACACCAGUGGCGAAGGCGACUCACUGGCCCAAUACUGACGCUGAGGCGCGAAAGCGUGGGGAGCAAACAGGAUUAGAUACCCUGGUAGUCC